rnacentral:rRNA from 1 species
GACGAACGCGGGCGGCGUGCCUAAUACAUGCAAGUAGGACGCACAGUUUAUACCGUAGCUUGCUACACCAUAGACUGUGAGUUGCGAACGGGUGAGUAACGCGUAGGUAACCUGCCUAUUAGAGGGGGAUAACUAUUGGAAACGAUAGCUAAUACCGCAUAACAGUAUGUAACACAUGUUAGAUGCUUGAAAGAUGCAAUUGCAUCGCUAGUAGAUGGACCUGCGUUGUAUUAGCUAGUAGGUAGGGUAAUGGCCUACCUAGGCGACGAUACAUAGCCGACCUGAGAGGGUGAUCGGCCACACUGGGACUGAGACACGGCCCAGACUCCUACGGGAGGCAGCAGUAGGGAAUCUUCGGCAAUGGGGGGAACCCUGACCGAGCAACGCCGCGUGAGUGAAGAAGGUUUUCGGAUCGUAAAGCUCUGUUGUUAAGGAAGAACGAGUGUGAGAAUGGAAAGUUCAUACUGUGACGGUACUUAACCAGAAAGGGACGGCUAACUACGUGCCAGCAGCCGCGGUAAUACGUAGGUCCCGAGCGUUGUCCGGAUUUAUUGGGCGUAAAGCGAGCGCAGGCGGUUAGAAAAGUCUGAAGUGAAAGGCAGUGGCUCAACCAUUGUAGGCUUUGGAAACUGUUUAACUUGAGUGCAGAAGGGGAGAGUGGAAUUCCAUGUGUAGCGGUGAAAUGCGUAGAUAUAUGGAGGAACACCGGUGGCGAAAGCGGCUCUCUGGUCUGUAACUGACGCUGAGGCUCGAAAGCGUGGGGAGCGAACAGG